CACGGGGGGAGCAAGCGUUGUUCGGAAUCACUGGGCGUAAAGGGCGUGUAGGCGGUCAAGUAAGUGGAAUGUGAAAGCCCCCGGCUUACCCGGGGAUCUGCAUCCCAAACUGCUUGGCUUGAGUACGGGAGAGGAUGGAGGAAUUCCUGGUGUAGCGGUGAAAUGCGUAGAUAUCUGGAGGAACACCGGUGGCGAAGGCGGCAUUCUGGACCGACAUUGACGCUGAGGAGCGAAAGCCAGGGGAGCAAACGGG
rnacentral:rRNA from 1 species